UCACUAAGAAGCUAAAAAGGGAUUAAGCGCUAGCCUUUUAAGCUAGAGACUGGUGACCCCCAACCACCCUUAGUGAA
rnacentral:tRNA from 1 species